CGGGGGGGUGUCGGGGGGCUGGAAGUCUCGGACCCUCCGCCGCCGCCCACAGAGGCCGGGAACCGGAGACAAAAUGGCGGAGCCGUCUCGGAGCCCGGCUUGGGACGUGGGUCGGGAAGCAGGCCGAGGCCUGCGGGCUCCCGGCGCGGUGGGAGUCCCCGGGCCUAGGGAUUUGACCCCUCCGGUGUCCUUAGCUUGCAGGCGCUCGCCCGCCAGCAGGCCGGGGCGGAGGGUGGAGGAGUUGGUUGUAAAAUGGCGGCUGGAGGGGGAGGGCGAGUCCCCGGGCGGGGGAGGGGGGAGGAGAUGGCGGGUGCCGGCUCCCGGCGUGCGAUCCCCACGGGAGCCCUCGGGAACCGCGGCGGGGUGUGGAGGAGGACACUUGGGUGGGGCGAUGUGAGGAACGGUACCGGUCGCUCGGGAGAGGGCGGCAUCGAGGAGCUGUAGCGCUAGGCGCCUUUCGGGGAAAUAUGGCGGGUGGGGGCGGUGGCUUUUCCCCUGAGGCCCAGUGUGGGGCGGCGGCCGUGGAGCCUCACAAAGGAGAAGCCUCUGGAACGGACGGCUUCUCGGGGCCGGCGGUGGAGAGGAGUCUUCUGGUGAGGGUGGAGUGUUUGGAAAUCACUGCAGAGCCUCCCUCCUUGGGUGGAGGCGAGCUGAGAUGCUGCGAUUGGAUUUCUUCCUUUGGGCCGACACACCUUGGAGUUGAGAGUUUGGGGGGCUUUUUAGCCUCGCCUUCUUCCGGGGAGGUGCAGAACCUCACUCCUACCCCGUUUGUUCUUACCCAGGAUAUCCUAAAGUUGCUGCGGGUUUUUUUUUUCCCCCUUCUGUCCCCAUCCUUCAUAGGCACGGAGUUCUGAUGGCUAGAAUACAGGAGACCAGGCUUGCCAGGAUUCCUUAGUACGAAUUUCCCUUUGCAGAGUCAGUGCCUCAGUUUACCCGUUUGUAAAAUUGACGACUGUACUAUUCACACUCGUCAUUAUGAAGUAUGGAAAGACCUGCUGAGAAAUGGUUAAUUCAAAUAAUGUUUAGUAGCACUUUGGGUUGACAACCCAAGUUCGGGUGGAAUGCAUGCUCUUCCUUGGCUUGGGGAGCUUUACCUAUUUUGAGCACUCAGUUGAGGCUUGGGGAGUUUGAAUUAGGAAUGUAGAAGAUUGUAGUUUUUCUGUUUUAUGAUUUCAUUGUUACAUGAUUGGGGCUCAAACCCAGGAUUGCAUGCAAGCAAGACAAGUGCUCAAAUACUGUGCUACACCACAGCUCUGUUUUAUCCAUUUUAAGAGAAUGGUUUUAUAUAUAUGUAUAUGUGUGUGUGUGUGUGUACACACACACACACAAAUUUCAAUAGUUACUCUUCUGUUAAUUUGACACACACACACCCCACCUGCAGGUGAUGGAGACUAGACCCUAGUACAUGCUAGAUUCUCAACUUAGCUCCUGCUAAUUGCAGUCUAGUUUUUUUUUUUUUUUUUUUUUUUUUUUCUGAGAAUUUCAUUGACAUAUCUACUGUGUUUGUGAAGUGUAACUAGAUAUUUGAGUUAGGCAAUAGGCCAUUAAACUAGUAUUUAAAAAUGAAAAGUCACACACAUGGUUCCUGUGAUUUAAUUAAUUGCAGGUGUAGUUCUGGCUGUUCUGAAACACUAUGUAGACCAUACUGGUCCUGAACUCAGAGAUCCGUCUCCGCCUCCCUGUGUGCUGAGAUUAAAGGCAUGAAUACUAAGGCUAGGUCCUGUGAGUUCAAUGUUUGGGAAGUGGUAGGGUCCAAUGAGACAAGAUUGGAAUUAAGUGUUCCUCAUGUUUUUUCCAUGUUAGUUAAAACAUUUGCUUUUUCAAAUGUUAGGUCAGACCCUUUUCCUUGAAUGGCAGUUUCUCCUGUGGAAGCUUUUGAACCACCAGUCCUUAGUCUUUGCCAAAGUCACAGGCCCAGCAUUUGGAAAGUAGAACAGCAGACCUCAAAACCUCCAAUUUAGGAAAGACGCUGAACUACAUUUUGUCUUGCAGAUUUCAGUUUGUAGUGAGUUGGGCUCCUGUUGGGAGCUGGAGGAGGUGGGAUGGGGAAAUAGGAGUGCAGCUCCAGGUGAGCUUGUCUGUCCCGGGAGAGUACUGGAGGUUUCCCCUCUCGAUCCCAGAAGAGGUCCCCCCCUUAAUCUGUGUCCUUGGGAGGAAGCAUGAAAUUAAUUUGAAGACUGGUGACUUAGGCUUUAUGUAAAUAUAAUAACCCUCCCUCCCCCCCAAACGAGGUAUGAGGGGAAGCUUUCUGAUUUGCUUCUAAAAGUCAUUUUAAAAAGGGAUUUGCAAACAUGAUUGUAGCUUCCAAAUAAAUGACAAUUUUUAAAUCAUACUUGGGGUUUGAAUGAUGAGAAUUUUUGAGCAAAGCUUGGCCUUGUUGGCUAUUGAGUACAGUGUUCUAGAAAAGCCAUGUGGUGACUGUACUUAAUGAGGGAAGGAAACUGGAAGCACUCCUGUGAUUUGGCCUAAGAAAGGAAAUCAGUAGAAAGGGAGAGGAAGAAGGCAGUCACAGAAAGUGAUCACUCCUACUGACUGGUAAUUCAUUUUUAUUAGUGUAACAAAAAUUGAUUAUAGUCACUGAUUAUAGUAGUAACCACUUAGUAAAUAAAAUGCCAAGGGUAGUGAAAGAAUGCAUCGCAACCCUGAGUUUUAGAUACUAUGUAAAUGUUGGCUUUUAAUUGCCUGCUCUUUUUUUUUUUAAAGUGUGUCAACAGUUUUUUUCUUUUUAUUUAUUUAUUUAUUUAUUUUUAAAUAUUUAUUUAUUAUAUGGAAGUACAUUGUAGCUGUCUUCAGACACUCCAGAAGAGGGAGUCAGAUCUCGUUAUGGAUGGUUGUGAGCCACCAUGUGGUUGCUGGGAUUUGAACUCUGGACCUUCGGAAGAGCAGUCGGGUGCUCUUACCCACUGAGCCAUCUCACCAGCCCCUAAUUGCCUGCUUCUUGCUGCUGUCAUAGGUUUCUCUUGUAUUUUGCAUGCUGGGUGGAGCCUGGUGCCUGAAUUAUCUUUUACUUUCCCCAUAGGUAAUAGAAAACAAUUUAUAUAGAUUAUUUAAUGGUCUUAGAAAAGGAGGUGAGAAGCCGUUUUAAAGAACAGCUUUAGGACAGUUUAAAGAACUGUUUAGGAGUUUAUAUAGGAAAACUUAAAGCUUGAGGCUACGACUGUUCAUUUUAAUUGUUAGUAUUCCCUCUCUCUUUCUCCUGCUCAUUCAUUCAUUCAUUGAGACAGGUUGUCUCUGAAGAGCCCCUGGCUCAACCAGAAUUCACUGUAGACCAGCCUGGCCUCAAACUCAGAAACCUUCCUCCUGCCUCAUGAGUGCUGGGGAGUGUGGCAAUAUGCCCAGUUUAGUUUAGUAAUUUAACAAGUCAGUAGUCUUAAGAAAAUAGGGUUUUGUAUAUUUGUAGCCAUAUUAAUCAGGUUACCAUAGUCAAACAAAUAAGUUUUCAUACAUUUAAAACACAUGAGUAUAGAAAAGUUAAGGAAGUGGGGCAUAGCUAGGAAUUGAACUGAGGGCCUUGUACAUCCUAGGCAAGUGAUCUACCAUGGAACUAGAUCCAUCUGUAUUUUGAGACAAGGUCUCACUAAUUUACCUAGGAUAGCCUUGAACUGGCCUUGAAAUUACCACCCUCCAGUGACAGCCUCCCAAGCAGCUGAGUUUGGCCUGUUCAAAAUUGGAGGUUUUUCCCCCUAUUUUCUGGGAUCGGAGUGGUCAACAUAUGUAAUAUUUGACUCGUGUGGUGGUUCUGCUUUUGUCUUUCCUAAACUUCAUCGUGCUCAGAUUAGCUCAGUGGGGUCUAGAAUGGUGGCACACUACUUUAAACUACACUUAGAAGACAAGGCAAGAGGAUCUCAAGUUCCAGGUUAGCCUGAGUUAUGAAAUCCUAUCUGAAAACGACAAAUUAGCCAGGUGGGAUGACACAUACCUUCAGUCUCUGCACUCAGGAAGCAGAUGCAGGCAGAUGUCUGAGUUCUAAGCUAGAAAAGAAAAGAAUUGGUUCUAUGGGGUGUGGCGUGUUGUUGAGAUCCCUGCUCCCCACCACUUGGGUUGUCACUCUGAAUACUGAAAUACCAGAAAUUCGUCUGUUCUGAGUCAUUGGCUUGAGAGCUGUUUUAAAACACCAAAAAUCUCAUUACUAAAACAUACUGUACUAGUUAGGGAAGGAUGGGGAACACAUACUCACUCACUCACUCACUCACUCACUCACUCACAGACAGGGUCUCUGAAUAUUGGCCUGGAACUCAGGAGGCCCUCUUUCUGUGCCUCCCAAGUGCUGGGAUUAAAUGUGCUCACAGUCACGUCUACCCCUGCCUUUGUUUGCAAGGGAUGCUCUUUACAAGGUGGGUGGUACAUACUGUAAUCCCAGUGCUUAAAAGGACAAGAAUCUAGGAUUUAAGGUUAACUGCAUCUGUGUGUAGUGAAUUUGAGGUUAAAUGAUACUGUCCCAAAAUAAAGGGAUACUGUGCAUUAGAUUUUUGUAAAGCAUUGUUCUUUUGUGUUACACAGUUUGGGGAUACUAUGAGUUGAUAAAUCACUGUUACUUGAAGUGAUUUUUUUACUACUGUGGAUGUUCUCUAAGGAUGCUCAUUUUAAAUUUCAUUUGUAUGAUGUGUGUGCGUUUUUCUGUGUUUUUUUUUUUGUUUUGUUUUUUGUUUUUGUUGUUGUUGUUUAAAUUUUUAUUUGACAUGGUCUCACUCUGUAGCUCUGACUGUCCUGGAACUCAGUCUGUAGACCAGGCUGGCCUUGAGCUCAGCUCACAGAGUUCCACCUGCCUUUAUAUCCUGAGUGCUGGAAUCAAAGGUGUGGGUCACUAUGCCUGGCUGUGCAUGUGUGUGUUGUGUGCUGUGGCACGUGUGUGGAGGUCAAAGGACAAUCGAUGGAAAACUUUCCACCAAGUAGGUCCUGGAGAGUGAACUCCAGUGGUCAUUCCUGACACAGGUGUUUGUCUUCACCAGAGCUGUCUCUCAGGUCCUCUUUUCACUUCCUUAAAUUAAGAACUGCUUUUAUUUUCUGUAUGAGGGUUUUGCCUUCCAGUAUGUCUUUGUACCACAUGCAUGAAUGUCUGAUGCCUGCAGAAGUCAGAAGAGGAUUUUGGAUCCCUGGAACUGGACUUAUAGGUUUAUUCCCUGUGAAAGUGCACCAUGUGCAUACCUGGUGCCCUUGAAGGUCAAGAGAGGAUGUCUCACCCCCUGAAACUGGACUUAUAGGUGAUUAUUAGCUACCAUGUGCUGGGAGCUCAAAUCUGGGCUUCUGCUAGAACAGCAAGUGCUCUUAAUCUCUGAGCCACCUCUCCAGCCCCAUAAGUCUUUUUGUUUUUUGUUUUUUUUUUUUUGUUUUAAGAUUUAUUUAUUAUAUGUAAGUACACUGUAGCUGUCUUCAGACACUCCAGAAGAGGGAGUCAGAUCUUGUUACAGAUGGUUGUGAGCCACCAUGUGGUUGCUGGGAUUGAACUCCGGACCUUUGGAAGAGCAGUCGGGUGCUCUUACCCACUGAGCCGUCUCACCAGCCCCUGUUUUUUUGUUUUCUUGAGAAUGGGUCUUGAUGUGUAGCCCAGGCUAGGUAGCAGUAUUUUGAUACUUAAUGAUGUCUCUAGAUCUCCAGAGCCUAUUGAUGCUUAUGAAUUAUCUGAAGGUAAAGUAUCUUAGCAUUUUUGUAUAGAAACCUGCUCUUUAUUUCAAAGUUCCAUUUCAAGGCAUAAUGAAUGAGGGAUUUAUGUGGCCUGCUUACAUUCAGGGUCCAUGAUAUCCCUCUUUUCCCCUUGUCAAUGAAGACAUAUCGCCCCUUUUCCCCUUGUAAAGGAGGUUCACUGUUGCUCAACCUAGGCUCAAACUUGACAUUAUCUUAGCAUCCUGAGCAGUAGGUUACUGGAAGGCUGUGCCAAGCAAAGUUCUUGUUUUUCUUUAAAGCCCUAGUUGAGGCUGAGGAUGGUAGCACAGCCUUUAAUCCCAGCACUUUUGAAGCAGAGGCAGGGGGAACUCUUAGGGAUCCAUAGUUCCAGGCCAACCAGGGCUUAAACAUAGGCCUCUGGCCUCCUUAGUAUACUCACAGCGCACAUCCAAUUCCUCAUUUAAAAUCUUUUUUUUUUUUUGGUUUUUUGAGACAGGGUUUCUCUGUGUAGCCCUGGCUGUCCUGGUACUCACUUUGUAGACCAGGCUGGCCUUGAAUCAGAAAUCUGCCUGCCUCUGCCUCCCAAGUGCUGGGAUUAAAGGUGUGCGCCACCACACCUGGCUCAUCAUUUAAAAUCUUAAAAACUAAACAAAAAUCUACCCUUUAUAAUAUCAGUGUCUCUGGGGUGUGGCGAAUGUCACACAUUAAUACAGAGUAUUUCUAAAAUACUCCCUCCCAUAUCCUUUCAUUUAUAGAAAUGUCCUUAAAUAUCAUGUGGAACAUUUUUGGAGGGGCACUGGUGGGCAUGUAAUUAGUAUUUCAGAUAGCCCAGAUAACUGUAAAGUAGAAUCUAUCAGUGCGUUGUGAGUAGCAGCACCACAAUGUGGCUAGUUUGCUACAGUUAAGUACUGUUAUAUCCAAUUUGGUGGGUGGAGUUGCCCACAUAACCUUUAUAGACGGAGCUCAUACUGUAACUAAACACUUAACAAGGCCUAUUGGAACAGUUCCAGGGGCUUGUUUAAGCUCACUAAAUAAAAGCAAGUUAUGACAAAGAGGUCCUCAAAAUUUAUCAUGAAAUCCAGAAGUUGGCAUGAACUUGCCAUUUGAUAUUACCAGUUUUCGUGUGUGUGUGUGUGUGUGUGUGUGUGUGUGUGUGUUUUAAGUUUUGGAGAUAGAACUCAAGUUCAUACAUUGUACCUUAAGUACUUGAUGAACUAAGCUGACUCCCAGUCCGUUUUUAUGUCUUUUAUUUUUGGUGAUGACAAGGGGGUCUCUGUGUCCUUGGCUGGCCUGCAACUUGCUUUGUGGUCCUGGGUGGCUUCAAACUUGAAUUAUUCUGUCACUUAGCCUCAAGCAGUGGAAAAUGACACAUAUUCUACCAUACCCCGAUAGUUUCUCUUUUAAGACAGGGUCUUACUGUGUACCCCUGACUGGUCUUCAGUUCACAGCUCCAUCUGUCUCUGCUGUCAUCUGCCACUAUGCCUGGCCUAAUUUUUAUUUUGAGACAUGGGUCUUGUUUCCAUGCAUAUGCUACCAUACCCAGGUUAGUUUCCUCACUUAAAGAAAAUUUCCUAAGCUUUGUUCUCUCACCACAGAUAUUGUAGGUCUAUGUCCUGAGAACUUUGACUUUCUUCAGAUUUUGCAUUUGGUAGAAAAUAAUAUAGACCAAAGGGAAAUUGAAGCUCUGGAAGCUGUCUCACUCUCUUAAGUGGGAAUGGGAAAAGUCAGGGAUAUGGUAGCUGCUGAUAAUAGAGCUAGCUGGUAUGCCUAGCUCUAUUAUGGUAUUAGAGUCAAAUAUGCUGUUUUAUUUUGUCUGCUUUGAGCUGGUUAGAGGUGGCAGCAGUACCCUAAGUUCAGAACUUUGCCCAUAAACAUUUGUCGACUUUCUUGUACUAUGCUGUCAAAAAUACCAGAUUUUGGGCCUGGAGAGUUGGUUUAGCAGUUAAGAGCAUUGGCUGCUCUUCUAGAAGACUUGGGUUCAAUUCUCAGCAACCACAUGGCAGCUCAUAUCUGUAACUCCAAUUCCAAGGCUCUGACACCCUCACACACACAUACUUGCAGGCAAAAUACAAAUGAACAUGGAUAUAAUUAAGUUAACAAACCAUCAGCUUUUAUGUAGAAAACAGAAUUACCAUGAUGUUCCUUAUUUUUUUUCCUCCUCUUCCACAUCUCCCUCUCUUCUUCUGUAUUGAGGAUUGAACCUUCACAUAUGCUAGACCUUCACAUAUGGCUACAUACUCUGGCUCAGCCAUUUAAUCAUCAACAUAUGUUUCCUGGUUUAUGACCUUGAAAUUUAACCUUUUAAAAUUACAUUAAUUUUUGUAGAGAUGGGCAUGUGUAGCAGAGUGUAGCGGUCAGGUGACUUCUCUUUGUUCUCUUUUAUCAUGUUGUUUCUAGAGCUCUUAUCUUUUACCACAACCUUUUUUUUUUUUCCUGGAGCCCAGAAUGACAUUGAACUCAGAUAUCUUUCUCCCGAUCACCACGUCUGACUGGAAUUAUUACUUUUAGUAUGUGUAGAGUCAGUCUGAAGCUGUGUGUGGUGGUGCAGUCUUUACAGCCUAACACCCAGGAGGCAGACACAGGCAGACUUUUGGGUUUAAGAUCAGCUUGGUUUUCAUAGUGAAUUGGAGGACAGCCAGAAUUACACAGAGAGACCUUGUCCCUAAUUAUUGACAGUGGUCUCUGCUCUGUGCAGGGUAAUAGAAUGGCAGGGUAGUGUGUUCCCUGUUGGUUCUCCUAGUUGGUAGUGACAUAAGAUGCCACUCUACUAACAAAACCUUGGUAGUGUUUGCCCAGAUGAUUCCCUGCACCACAUAAAAUGGGCAUGGUAGCACAUACUUGUAAUUCCAGCACUCAGGCAGGAGGAUAAUCACUACUACAUAGUAAGUUAAAGGCAGGCCAGUCUGAGACUGACUCAAAAACAAACAAACCAACCCAUCAUCACCACCACCACAACAAUGAAAAAAAACCCAGCAAGAACCCCAAAACAAAAAGACAGUCAUUUUCAGCCAGUCAUGUUGCACUAUACCUGUAAUUCUAGCAUUUGUGAUGUUUAGGUAGGAGAAUUCUGAAUUGAAGGCCAGCCUGGGCUACAUAGUCUGAUCUUGUCACAAACUCUGUCUUAAAAGACAACUGUUGACUACCACAAUACAUCUUUAAUUCUCUGUUUCCUAAGUACCAUUCUUUUUUUUUUAAAGAUUUAUUUAUUUAUUAUAUGUAAGUACACUGUAGGUGCCCUCAGACACUCCAGAAGAGGGAGUCAGAUCUCGUUAUGGAUGGUUGUGAGCCACCAUGUGGUUGCUGGGAUUUGAACUCCUGACCUUCAGAAGAGCAGUCGGGUGCUCUUACCCACUGAGCCAUCUCACCAGCCCCUAAGUACCAUUCUUAAGUGUUAUUCUGUCAUGCCUUAACAUGGUUUGGCUGAUGGCACAUGCCUUUAAUCAAAACACUUUGGAAUUAGAGAUUGAGGGGAUCUCUAGGUUGGGGGGCAGCCUGGUUUAAAUAAACAGCAAGUUCUAAGCUUGCUGGAGCUGCAUAGUGAGAUCUGACCUCAAGAAAAAAGAAACGACCCUGCAAAGCAGGCACCACACAUUUUCCAGGUAAAUAUUAAAUGAAGACUAGGCUGGGGACAUGGCUCAGCAGCUAAGAAUGUUUGUUGCUCUUGCAGAGGGUCCAGGCUUGGUUCCCAGCAUCCAUGAAGCAACUCACAGCUGCCUGCUAGUCCAGUUGUAGGGAGUCUGACAUUCAUUCUCUUCUGGUCUCCACAGACACCUACAUGCAUUAUGUGCACAUACAUACAUUGGAGAAUACAUACAGUAAAUAAGUAUUAAAAAAAACUUACACUUAAAGCCAAAAAAUAAAUAAAAGAGUUAAGUGAGGACAAAUUACUGUAUUUAGUCAGGUGUGUUGUACCACUUCACAUUUGAUGUUUGUGCAGUAUUGUAAAUACCAGUCCUUUCCUUCCCCCUUCACUCCGUUCAAGACAAGGUCUCAUGGAGCACACUCAGGCUACCCUUGAACUUGCUUCAUAACCUAGUCAGCCUUGAACUGCUGGUCCUCUCACUGAAGCUCUAUUCUUAGUUUUUAAUUUUAUAAUGUGGAAAUUGCUUUGGGGGCCUGGGGAGAUAGAUCAGUCUGUCAAGUGCUUGUCAUACAAUCACAGACACUGAGUUUAAAUCCCAGCAUCCAGUUAAAAACUCAGUUGUUGCUUGUCAUUCCAGCAUGUUUGUAAUCCUCUCUUGGGAGGCAGGGACUGAUGAAUCCCUGGGGCUCCCUAACCAGUUGUCAUAGCCUAAUUGUUGAACCUUACCACUUAGAGAAGUUGUUUUAAAAACCCAAGGUGGAGCUGGGUGGUAGUGCAUGCCUUUGGGAGGCAGAGUCAGGCAGAUCUCUGAAUUCAAGGCUAACCUGGUCUACAGAGUAAGUUCCUGGAUAGACAGGGCUACACAGAAAAACUGUCUAGAAAAACAAAAAAAAAUUAAAGAUAAUCAAACAUUUUCCUUUUUUGUGAAUCUGUGUAUGAUGAAUACUCUCACAAUAAUGAUGGUGAACAUAGGGAACUCAGGACAGCUUGUGGAAGGUCUUUCCUUCUUCCAUGUGGGUUGUGGAAACUGAACUAGUAGGUUCAAUUAAUUAGCCCAGGUUGAAAUUCUUUCUUUCUUUUUUUGGACUUGCUAAUUCUGAUACCUCUGCCUCACUUGUGCUAUUAUGUUGGCUGAACUUAAAGCUUUAUAAAAGCCGACCCAGGAGGUGGAGGCAAAGGGUCAGGAAUCGGUGUCAUCCUUGGCUGCAUAGAAAAUUCUAGGCUACCCAAUCACCCAACUCAAAAAUAAACAAAUGGGCCGGGCAGUGGAGGCACACACCUUUAAUCCCAGCACUUGGAAGGCAGAGACAGGCGGAUUUCUCAGCCUGGUCUACAUAGUGAAUUCCAGGAUGACCAGGGCUCCGCAGAGGAAAAAAACCCUGUCUCGAAAAACCAAAAAAAAAAAAAAAAAAAAAAAAAGAAAGAAAGAAAGAAAGAAAAUAAACAAAUGGACUGGAGAGGUGGCUCUGCAGUUAAGAGCACUUAAUGCUUUUGUGGAAGACCCAGGAUUAUUGAUAACCACUACUCUUGUAGAGGCUUAAAACUAUCUAUAACUUCAUUUGCAGAGGAUCCUGUGCCCUCUUUGGAGCUCAUCCUUGGGUACCAGGCAUGCUUGUAAUCCUAGCACUUUGUAGGUGCAAGAGGCCAGUUUCUACUAGAUAGCAGAAUUCAAAGCUAACCCAAGUUAUCCAACAUCUCAAACAACAGAUACAUGGCUAGAAUUAAGCUUCAGGAACUUAAUUGAUUCUCAUAGCUAUAUUACGGUGUGUGUGUGUGUGUGUGUGUGUGUGUGUGUGUGUGUAUCUUUGGAGGUCAGAAGAUUGUUAGGAUCCCUUGAAGUUAGGGAAUGUCUGAGCUUCGGUGUGGGUGCUGGGAACUGAACCUGAGUCCUUUGCAAGGACAACUGCUCUUAAUUUCUGCAUCACUUCUCCAGCCCUUCUUUGCAAUAGAUAGCUUUGGCAUGUAGUUUUGAGAUGUGUGAACAGAUGAACAGAGGUUAUGGAAUCUUCCUCCUUUCUUGGUGACCGAUAACCAUACCCUCUCUCACUCUCGCCCCCUCCCCCCAGGGUAUCUCUGUGUAGCCCUGGUGGCUGUCUUGGAACUCACUCUAGACCAGGAUGGCCUCAGAUUCAGAGAUCUACAUGUCUCUGCCUUACUGAGGGCUGUGUUACAUUUUUCUUAAUGAUUCUGACUUACCUUCAUUUCACAAUGCUGCCAAUAUUUUUCUUAGCCUGUUUUAGUAUUUUUUCUUGUCAUAUCACAAGUGACAUAAAUAACGAUCUUCCAAUUUUCUUUCCUUCAUCUGAAGACCUAGAAUUAAAUGUUGGUUAUUAGUGAUAGUGUUUAUUUAUUUUACUUUUGUAUGUCUUAGUAUACAGAUGAGGAAAUUAUUUGGCAGCUAUUUGAGGGUAGCUGCCAGCAAGUCAAGAUUAGCAAAUGAAAAAGCUUACUAAAAUAGAUGCUAUAUGCACACAAUGUUUUCAUAACAGUAUUCAGCAAUUCAGUAUAUCAAGAGAAUUUAAACUUUACUUGCAUGUAUGUACUGUGUGUGUCCAUAAGGCCAGAAGAGGGUGGUGUUGGAUAUCCUGAAGCAGAAAUUACUGGCACUUGUAAACUGCUUGAUGUAGGUGCUGCGAACAGAACUCUGGAAGAGCAGGGAAUGCUUCUUAACCACAGACCUGUCUCUCUGGUUUUACUAAGAAUAAGAAUAGUAUUUAAGAAUACUUUGGGGCUGGUGAGAUGGCUCAGUGGGUAAGAGCACCCGACUGCUCUUCCGAAGGUCUGAAGUUCAAAUCCCAGCAACCAUAUGGUGGCUCACAACCACCCGUAAUGAGAUCUGAUGCCCUCUUCUGGUGUGUCUGAAGACAGCUACAGUGUACUUACAUAUAAUAAAUAAAUAAAUCUUUUAAAAAAAAAAAAAAAAAAAAAGAAUACUUUGAUGUUUUACCCUAAAGAAAACUUCCCUGGAGUCAAGACCCAUUGUUUCUCAGAUACAUCACUUACUAAACUCUGGGAUUUGAUCUGCAUCUAAACUUAUUUUAUUUGUGGAUAUGCAGUUGAUUGUACCAGGUGACUUUACCCUUUUGGUGACUAAGCUGGUGAUCUUCCUUUUGAGACUGUCUCCUGGAGCACAGGCUGCACUUAAGUCCUCUUACUCUGUUUGCUAAUACUGGAGGGAUUUCAGCUGUGUACCACCACACCCAGCUGCUUAGCCUCUGGAACUUCUCUUCAGAACCAGCUAUUUGUUUUUAUUUUGUAUACCUUACAGACUUUAUACUAAUUUUCUCUUCACUGUAGCUGGUUGAUGCCUAUCAUUCUUUCUGUGUCUGCCUCUACAUUUCUGUUAGUUGAUAGUUUCUAAAUUCCUUCCUACCCGACCUUCUAAACAUGUUUUUGUUUGUUUGAGCCAGGCUCUUACUAUAGCCUUAGCUGGAUCCAUCUGCUUCUGUCUACUUGUUCUGGGAUUAAAGGCAUGUGCUACCAUGCCCAGCCCCCAGUUUUGUUUUUGUUUUUAAGUUUUUAUUUUUUAUUUUUAUUUAUUUCUUGAGACCAAGGUUUCUUUGUAAUCUUGGCUCCCCUGAAACCAGGCUGUCCUUGAACUCCAGUUCAACCUGCCUCUGCUUCCCUAGGGCCUGUAUUAAAGGUGUUUGCACCAGCACCCAGUUGUUUUUCAGUUUUGUUUUUCCAGACAUGGUUUAUAUGUGUAACAGUCCUGGCUGUCUUGGAACUCACUCUGUAGACCAGGCUGGCCUCGAAUGUUUUUCAGUUUUAAAAAAAAACAUUUUUCAAAUUUUUUUGAGAUGGCAUGCUUUUUUGUUUUGUUUUGUUUUUUGAGACAGGGUUUCUCUGUAUAGCCCUGGCUGUCCUGUAACUCACUUUGUAGACCAGGCUGGCCUGGAACUCAGAAAUCCGCCUGCCUCUGCCUCCCGAGUGCUGGGAUCAAAGGCAUGCGUCACUACGCCCGGCUGGCAUCCAUUUUUUAAUAGUCCUGACUGUUCUGGAAUUUAUGGAGUAGCCCAGACUGGCUUUGAACUCAUGUCAAUCUUUCUGCCUUAGUUUUAUAAUGUUGGGGUUAUAGGCAUGAUCGACUACACAUGGCUUUAUCAUGCACUUUUUGGUCAGUGGGUAUUAACUUUUUUUUUUUUUUUUUUUUUUUUUAAGAAUUACUUAUUUUAUGUAUGAGUACACUGUUGCUGUCUUCAGACACACCAGAAGAGGGCAUCUGAUCUCAUUACAGGUGGUUGUGAGGAGUCAUUUCAUGGGUACCUUGCCAAAGCAGUUUUGUUGUGUUUUUUAAUAUUAUUUAUGUGUAUAUGCAGGCGACGAAGGAGCUCAGAUGGGUAUUGGAUUCCCUGGAGCUGUGGUUACAGGUAGUUGUGAGCUGCCCAAUCUGUAAGAAUAAUCUGUGCUCUUAACCUUUGAGCUUUCUUCCAGCUUUUUUUUUUUUUAAAGAUAGGAUUUCAUGUAGCUCAAGCUGACAUCAAAUGCCCUCUGUAGCUGGAGGUAACACUGAACUGAUCCACCUGCACCUACAGUCUCAAGUACAGGUACAGCACCAUGUCAGCUAUCAAGUAGUGUAGUUAGGAAGGAAAUAUAGCUGAAAAGAAUGGUGUGACUAAAGUUGUAGCUCGGGUGGUAGAGUGCUUGCCAGACAUGCAUGAAACUGUUCAAUCUCCAGGGCUGCGUAAGCCCAGCAGAGAGCUAUGUGCACUCAGGAGGAUCAGUGGUCAUCCAUCAUAGUGCAAAGUGAGUUUGAGGCCAGCCUGGGCAGCAGGAGACCUCGUCUCAACAAAAGAAAACCACAGGAAGGGAAUGAGGAUGUUAAGUCAGAAGGUCUUUUCUGUUUAUCAUCAGAGGUACUGAUCCAGGGCUGUGCACUGGACCUCAGCAUAGUGUGGGUUAGAAAACUGGAAGCAGAGUAUAUACACAGAGCAUUGUUAUACCUAACUUCUAAGGGUUGCUUUUAGCAGGCAUGUUGUCAAUGCUCAGAACACUUGCUGUGGUGUGAACCUGUGGAGUCUCUCCUUCCACUUUAGCCUGAGUUUACCAGUUGAUUAUUACGUACUUGCCUUUAUUAAUUUCUUAAAAAUUUAUUUAUCUGAUCAUCUUUGUGCCAGCAUUGAAGUGGUGGGAUAAUUCAGGUUGCGUUUUUCUCUCUCUCUUUUUAAAAAUGUAUUCAUUUAUUUUAUGUAUGUGAGCACACUGUAGCUGCAUCAGAAGAGGGCAUCAGAUCCCAUUACAGAUGGUUGUGAGCCACCAGGGUUAAACUCGGGGCCUGAAAGAGCAGACAGUGCUCUUAACCACUGAGCCAUCUCUCCAGUGCUCAGGUUGCAUUUUUUUAAUUAGAUAUUUUCUUUAUUUACAUUUCAAAUGCUAUUCCCAAAGCCCCCUAUACCCUCCCCCCGCCCUGCUCCCCAACCCACCCACCUCUGCUUCCUGGCAGGUUGCAUUUUUGUUAAAAUUUAUUACUGUUUUAUGUGUACAGAUGUUUUGCCCACAUAUCUAUACACCACAUCUGUGUCUGCUGUGAGCUGCCAUGGGCGUACUAGGAAUUGAACUCUGGUCCUCUGGAGGAACAGCCAGUGCUUUUGAUUUCUGAGCCAUCUCUCCAGACCUUGGAUUUCUUUUGUGUGUGUUAUGGUGUAUACUUGUUGCCUCACUAGAGUAUUUGUCAGUGUGAUAUAAGAGGUGCAGGAUGCUUUAGGUGAAAAAAACGGUUUCUGUUCUAGAUAUCAACAGCAGCAUGAGCUCUCUUCACUUAGAAGACUGGUUUGUUUAAAAUUCAAGCUGCCUGUGGUGGUGCAUACCUAUAUCUAUUUCCAGCAUUUGGGAGAUGGAGAGAAGAAGGAUAAGGAGUUGGAAGCCUGCCUAGGGGAACAUAAGACCUUACAUCAUAAAAUUCCAUAAAGCUUAGUAUUGUUAUUAAAUUAUUGAUGAGUUUACUAUAUUUAGUAAUAGUUCUAAUUUUGCCUACCUGAUCAUUGUAUUGGUUUCUUUCAGUUUGUGUGAAUUUCAUGGAAUUAUUUGAAAGCAACUCAACAACACCUGGGGGCUUAGUAACUUCCUGUAGAAUCCAUUUGAAGGCUGCUGCUCAUGUGGAACUCUCAGCAAACAUUUUCUAAUUACUCCUCUUAAAGAUUCACGUUGUAUGAAUGCCUUAUUUUGCACUAACAUUUACAUGCCUCCUCAUUCAUACAAUCAACAUAGUUGAACUUUAGUGUCUAACUGGAGUGUGUGUGGCAUAAAUCAAGCUCUGACCUGCAGAGGCUAGUUUGGUCAUCCAUUUGCCCAGUAUGCCAGGCAAAAUGAUAUUUUUUCCCCAAAAUUCAUAUUGGGAAAAGGGACAUGUAGUGUCCAGUGACCUCAAGAUCACUCCCUUUGAAGUACUGAUAGGCUUUUUUUUUUUUUUGGUUUUUCGAGACAGGGUUCUCUGUAUAGCCCUGACUGUCCUGGAACUCACUUUGUAGACCAGGCUGGCCUGGAACUCAGAAAUCCGCCUGCCUCUGCCUCCCAAGUGCUGGGAUUAAAGGUGUGCACCACUACACCCGGCUUACUGAUAGGCAUUUUAAAUAGAGGAAGAAUUAGGGUAAGGUACAACCUGGUUGGGGUGUGGUCUGGUUGAGCUUUGUUUUGAUUGUGAUUUGCAAGGUGGUCUGGAACAAUCUUUGUCUCUCAUCAUCAAGGGGCUCAGACUGGUUUAUACAACGUGAUUAUUGGCUAUGUUACAGGGUGCUCUCAUUUGGUUUGGAGGUUUGAGGGUGUGUUCUGAGGUUUUGUUCUCCCUGAUUUCCAAGGUGAAUGCAGAUUAAGGACAGUUUCUUAAUCCUUGCUUUCUCCCAAGUGAAGGAGACAUACUGAUGGACAAAGCAGGCUUUCAUCCUGGUUUUAGUUUCUUUGUAUGUGCCUGCAAGCAUGAAUAAGGUGUGGAUGUGUGUGUGCACAUGUGUGCAUGGAGAUGUCAGACAACUUUGUGGAGUCAGUUCUCGGCUUUUACCAUGGCUUCUAGAGAUCAGGUUGCCAGACAUCUGGCAGUGCUCUUACCCAAGGAGCUAUCUUGCCAGUCCUCAUCCCAAUGGUAGUUACUAUCUAAUAGGUUUAAGUGAGUACAGGAGCUUUUUUUGAAAAGCAUCUAAGUUCCCUUUUCAAGUAGAUACAUUAUUAUUUACCAUUAAUCAUAGAAAACCAUAACCAGUCAAAAUUCUAUUUAAAUUUAAUUCUAUUUAAAGUCAUAUUAAUGUUCUGUCUCUGCUUUGGAUUUUUGUUUUGUCUUUUUGAGACAGCGCUUCUUUGCAUAGCCAGCCUUGGAUCUCCUGGAAUUUUGGUCACAUCUGCUGCAAAGAUUUUAUGAAAUGUUAGACAUGUUUAGUGAAGAAUUUUAUGUUAAUAGAUGAGUGGGAGUCCUUGAAUGACCAUGUUGGUCCAGAAUUGGAUCAGGCAGCUUUUGUGCAAAGCUUUGAGGAACCCUGGUUAGGGUUAUGCUUCCAUUGGUGAUAUUAAGAGAAUAAUGAUGACUUACACGGAGGGCUUCAAUAACGCACUGUAGACAUUCAGAGGAAGAUUAGGCCUUGGAUUCAUGAUGCUGCUUGCUGUCCCUUAGUCUGUUGCAUAAAGGAAUAGAAAAUUUUAAAGAUGAAGGGCCUGAAUUUAUUGGGAUUUUAAAAAUAAGUGACUCAUACUGGUCAUUGAAGAAUUAGGUGGCUCCAUCAAAUAUCUGAUUACAGUUUAUCCCACCAGAGGGCAGUCAGAACAAUUAAAAA